rnacentral:rRNA from 1 species
UACGGAGGGUGCAAGCGUUGUCCGGAUUUAUUGGGUUUAAAGGGUGCGUAGGCGGCCUUUUAAGUCAGUGGUGAAAGCCAACAGCUCAACUGUUGAACUGCCAUUGAUACUGAAAGGCUUGAGUACAGACGAGGUAGGCGGAAUUGAAGAUGUAGCGGUGAAAUGCAUAGAUAUCUUCAAGAACACCGAUUGCGUAGGCAGCUUACUAGGCUGUAACUGACGCUGAGGCACGAAAGCGUGGGGAGCGAGCAGG